GGAGGUGCGCCUUCUGCAGCAGCCUGGACUGAGGUCUCCUGGUCGUCCUCCCGUGAUGGGCACCCAAAUGCCUUUAACCUGUUGCUACAGUGAACAUCUUUGUGCCUGUCCCCUUAUGCACCUGGGCUUAAGUUUCUCUGGGAUGCAUCCCUGGAAUGGACUACUGGACCAGGUUCAUUUCUAGUACUGCUGGACAAGUUAAUGACAUGGGGUUUCUGAAUACAAGGAAGGUCAAAGAGGAAAAGAGAAUGAGUGAG